rnacentral:sRNA from 1 species
UCUUUUUAUUCUGUUCCUUGCUUAGAUUUUGAUUACAGGAGCAAUACAGUCACGAAAUAUGACUGCACGGAUAAAAAUAAUCUGUUUCAAUGUACCAGUAGAGAAUGCAUUCACAAAGACUUUAUAUGUGACGGUGUGAAAGACUGCACAGAUGGCAGCGAUGAGCAGUAUUGCCAAUUUCUCCACAAGACGUCAACCACAUUCUCAAAGAAAGCGCAACGUAAACAAGAUUUAUAAUGAAAUAGUUUUAGUAACAACAAAUAUAGAAUGAAAUUAUUAUUAAAAUUGUGUUUUAUGUAUAAUAUUGUCCUUAUCAUGUACUGAGAGACUUCAACAGUGAUGCCUAUAUAUAGUAUUAUUUGUUGAAGUCCUUUUAUAUUGUUAUGACUUUGC